rnacentral:lncRNA from 1 species
UUUUGAAUUCUUCAAAUUCAUUCCUCACCUCCUCCCAAUCCCACCAUCACCUUCAGCAUUACUCAUCGCCAAUUUUCUCUAUCUUUGGAAAGGUAAUAAAAAUUAUUAAUUAAAAACGAAAUGGUUAUAAAAAGGUCUUUGAUUCAAUGAAAUUUAAAAACGAUGAAGCAUUAUAAUUUGACACUUUAGUGAUCAUUGAGUAGAUGUGGGGCAGACUAUUGUCAAUAAUUUAAUAAAAGGUUGAAAUUAAUUAAAAUUUUCAAGGGGUUAACACUUGAUUAGAAGCUUGCCACGAUUCUAAUAUGUGGUUUACACAUUUUAAAGCACCACCAAAAGAAAUAAAAUCCCAUUAGGUCUGUAAAGGAGUUGGCAAUAAAGGUCAAGUGAUUAAAGGCAACUAGCAUCGGUGGUGGGUAAUUUGAUAACACUGUGCAUGCAUGUAUAAGCAGCAGCCAACUAGUUUAAUAGUUUGAAGCAAAAACACAAGUCCAUGGAAAACUUGAUUGGGUUCAACUACAAGUAGAAAGUGAGUGCCAUGUAUUUCGUCGGCAACAUGCUUCAGUUCCUUUCAUUAUCCACUAAAAGAAUUGGUUUCUUUUUGCCCCAUAUAGACAUCAAACAUCUCCUGGUGGGACCUUUUAGGAUUCGAGGUUUAAGAAAAUAAUUGAUACAGUUUUCACAAAUCCCAAUUGAUUAUAACGAAGAUUUCAUUUCAUAGUAGUGGAGAAGUUUGGCCUUCACAGGCGAAAGGACAUCAUUUGCAGAAAAAAAAAAUGUCAAACUUGAAAUGGUCUGAGGUCUCCGUCACAAGUAUGCAUCGUGAUUUUUGUCAUGGUUCAUCACAGAAAAACACCAAAAUUUAAAGUUGGGUAUAAAUGUGUGUAUAUUCGUAUUUUCUUGAAAUAAGGAAAAAGAAAAUGGUGAAUUGAACUGCAUAUGUCAUACUUGCAACAAGAAGGAGAAGCUCCAACGUAUAAUACAAAAGAAGGGACAAAAGGAUAUGUGGCAAUAGAAAUCUAUCGCUUUUAGUUUCUAUUCAUCUUUAUUCUCCUUUUUUUCACCUUUGUAAAAUGUGACAAAAGAAAGUAUAACCAUAAACAUGUUGUUGAGAAUGCCUCAUAUUGAUGAAGAAGAGAUCUUGCAUAGAUUUAUAAGUAAGUAUGAUUACUUCUCACGCUACCAAUUGAUUUUAUAGUGAAACCUCAACUUUCUUCAUGGUAUCAGAGCAUGUUGUCCCACGUGUGAAGCCCAACGGCCACACGUACCCAACGUCAUCUCUUUGUGUUGUUCACAUGUUUGACUUGAAAAUCAGCUACAACAUGAUGAGACUUGUUAAGAAUGUCUCACAUUAAUGGAGGUGGAACAUUGCAUGAACUUAUAAGUAAAUUGGGCUAUUCCAAUAUUGCUUACUAAUUUUAUGGUAGAACCUCAACUUUCUUUACAUGUGGGUAUUGUCUAAUUGAUACUACUCUCUCUCUCUCUCUCUCUAACACACACACACACACACACAUACAUAUAUACAUAUAUAUAUAUAUAUAUAUAUACACACAUAUAUAUAUAAUGCUAGGUAGAUUAAAUUUGUAAACUAAAUGAUGUGUUACCAAUAAGAAACAAACACGUUAAUCAAUGCUUGAGUAAUACUUUAAUCAUCAACUUCUAUAUCAUUUAAUUUACAAAAUUUAGUUUACACAUAUAGUCUCCCUAACAUUACCCAUAUAUAUAUAUAAAAGCAAAUCCAGUGUGAUCAGAUUGUAAUCUGCAUAAUUUAAUAUAAGCAAAUGGAUACUCCAAGAAAGAAUGAGCCAGUAAUUGACCGAUGUUAUGGGAAUUUAAUAUAAAAAUUCUUCUUUUCAGCUUGAAACAAGAAGCACGUAACGUAUGCCCACAGACAGGACUCUACGGGUGGCUUUACUUU